rnacentral:rRNA from 1 species
CCACAAGGGGUGAAGCCUGCGGUACAAUUGGAGUCAACGCCAGGAAACUUACCAGGAGAGGCAGCAGGUUGAGGGUCAGUCUGAAGAACUUACCUGACGAGCUGAGAGGAGGUGCAUGGUUGUCGCCAGCUCGUGCCGUGAGGCGUCCUGUUAAGUCAGGCAACGAGCGAGACCCCUAUCGGUAAUUGCUAACUGCUCAGAGAUGAGUAGAGGCUAGUUACAGAGACUGCCGUUGAUAAAACGGAGGAAGGAAGGGGCCACGGCAGGUCAGUAUGCCCCGAAACUCCUGGGCCACACGCGGGCUGCAAUGGUAGGGACAAUAGGUUCCGACCUCGAAAGAGGAAGGCAAUCCCGAAACCCUACCCCAGUUGUGAUCGAGGAUUGAAACCCGUCCUCGUGAAUAUGGAAUCCCUAGUAACCGCGUGUCGUCACCGCGCGGUGAAUACGUCCCUGCUCCUUGC